AUUGAACGCUGGAGGUAUGCUUAACACAUGCAAGUCGAACGCGAAAGUUUCUUCGGAAGCAAGUAGAGUGGCGGACGGGUGAGUAACGCGUAGGAAUCUACCUAGAUGUGGGGGAUAACAUGGAGAAAUUCAUGCUAAUACCGCAUAUGUCCCACGGGAUAAAGAGGGCCUCUUCUUGAAAGCUCUUGCAUUUAGAUGAGCCUGCGUCGGAUUAGCUUGUUGGCGGGGUAAUGGCCCACCAAGGCGACGAUCCGUAGCUGGUCUGAGAGGAUGAUCAGCCACAUCGGGACUGAGACACGGCCCGAACUCCUACGGGAGGCAGCAGUGGGGAAUAUUGGACAAUGGGCGAAAGCCUGAUCCAGCAAUACCUCGUGUGUGAAGAAGGCCUUAGGGUUGUAAAGCACUUUUCAAUUGGGACGAAGGUUGUAAGAUUAAUACUCUUAUGACUUGACGGUACCUUUAGAAGAAGCACCGGCUAACUCCGUGCCAGCCGCCGC
rnacentral:rRNA from 1 species